rnacentral:tRNA from 1 species
GGCGGUAUAGCCAAGCGGUAAGGCAGAGGUCUGCAAAACCUUCAUCACCGGUUCAAUUCCGGUUACCGCCU